rnacentral:lncRNA from 1 species
GGAUCUUCUCAUCCACGGGAGUUUUCUAAGGAUGCAGGCGAAAGAGGAAGUUUUAUAUCAAUGAGGACUACAUGGCUUGGAGGCCCCAGAACUCUAUCUUCAAAGUACAACUUGAUAGUACACCUCCGACACUUACCAAGGUUUGCUGUAACAUUGGUACAUAGAAGAGCCUUUAUUAUAAUGGUGUUAUAAAGAUAGCAUCUGUUAAGUUGCUUUAUAUAAAGUUUCAGAUGGAAAAUUCAUCAGUGAACUUAUAUAGUAAAAAAAAAAUCAUUAAAAAUUUGGGUGGAUCUACUUAGGUUUAAGUAUAACUGCAUUUGUGCUCCUGUUUUAUAGUUGGGUUUAAAAAUACUUGUGAUUUUUAUUAUAAGCUUCCUCAUAUAUCUUUUCAAGUAGGUUUAUGUAAAUAAGUAAGUAAGUAAAUAAAUAAAUAAAGGUUCACUUGGACCCAAGUUAGUGCACGAAAUGAAGAAAUAAAUCCACUUACGAAUGGUGAACUGACUGAAGCCCUCCUAAGAUGUUAGUUCAGGCAAAAGAUCCAAAUUUCAGAGCAUCACAAGAGACAGCAGAUUCCACUGAAACUAUUACCUUACUGCUCCUAUAUAUGAGGUGAAGUUUUGUGUGAGAAGGAUCAAAGAGAUUGUGAUCAUCUCUAAGCAGUGCAAAAAUCUAGUGAUGAGCAGGAGGAGAAAAUCUAAAUAGUUCUGGUAGAGAUAUAGGGAUUAGUAAGUGAGGAGGUUAUAUGCUGGAGGUUACAUUUAGCCUAUAAAAACACCAUAAUCCAGGUUUAUUCUACCAAUUACUGUGUGGCCUUGAGAUCUACAUUUUAGCAUUUACUAAAUGAUAGGGAAGAGCAGUUGAGCUCUUAAGCUUCUUCUAGUGCUCGCUUUCUAUUUGCCCCAAAGUCAGUCUACACUGAGUGACUGAUCAAACUCCACUUCCACCUUGGAUUCCAUAAACCAGCUAAGAAAUAGAUACUCUCUUCCUCACCCUUAGCCCCACACCACACCCCCACUGCUCAUGACUGGAGGGCAUAUGUCGAUUGGAGGGAAGGAUGCGACUGGAAGUCUCUGAGAAGAGCUCUUCUCUUCCCUCAGGGACAUGUCUAUUCACUGAAGAAUGACAUAAUAAAUGGUCAGCUACCUUUAACCUGCCUUCCAUGGAUUCCCUGAGGAAAAAUUAAAUUACUGUUCUAAUAUGCUACAAACGCACAGACUCAAAAUGUAAAAUAUGAAAUGAAUCUGACAGGUUAUGUGGUUUAGCUCCCACACUUGAUGGACAGAGAAACUGAGGCUUGAAGAGACGCACCCAAGGAACCUGGCCAAAGACACAGAGACAAGAAGUCUUGGAGCUAGGGCUACAGCCCAGAUCUCCACUGCUCCUUGGUGCUCUUUGUUUUUUUUUUUUUUUUUUUUGCUACAAGUUGGAGCUCAGUCCCUGGGUUGCAAUGGAUAAAUCUUUUGCUAGGCAACCCAGUUGCUAAGCUUUGCUCACAUCAUUCUUGAGCUCAAAAACCUUUAUGGAUUUCAGCUAUUCAUUCCUAGUAUAGUCAUCCUUUGGUAUCCUUGAGGGAUUGGUUCCAGAAUCUUCUGAGGAUACCAAAAUCCAGGGAUGCUCAAGUAUCUCAUAUAAAAUGGUGUAGUAUUUGCAUAUAACCUACGCACAUCCUCCUAUAUGCUUUAAAUCAUUGCUAGAUUACUCAUAAUAAUACAGUGUAAAUGCUAUGUCAAUCGUUGUUAUACUGUACUAUUUAGGGAAGAAUGACAAGAAAAUCUCUACAUGUUCAGUACAAAUGCAACCUUCCAUUUAUUUUUCCAAAUAUUUUUCAUCGACACUUGGUUGAAUUCAUGGAUGUGGAACCUAUGGAUACAAAGGGCCAAUUGUACAAGAUUCAUUUUGUGUCAUUAUUUGGGCUCUGCCCAUGAUAUUGCUACUACUUUUUAAAAAAAUUUAUGAAUUCCCUUCUGGAAGACGAGGUAGAAAGUAGACAGGCGAUUUUGCUAAGCAGUUUUGACAUCUCUCACACACACCUAUUUUGGCUAACCUUUUCCUGAUUUCUCAGUCCUCAGUAGCUCCUCUGUGCACGUGCCCAGAUGUCACAUUUCUUAACUUAUUUUCUAUUUCUUGAGGAUAAUUUAGUCACUUUUUUCUCUACAGUAAGCAGAGAAGGUAGAGCUGGAAAAUGGGGUCUUCAUCAGAGUUUAACUAGACUAUGAAUAGAAUUCUGUAAGGCACGGACCAAUGAGCUGUCUUUUAGGUCAGUCCAGAAGGACUCAGAUUCACACCAAACUUAAGUGGCUGGUGAAUGAGGCUCAGAUUGUCCUCCCAGUUUCCCACUGCCAUCCCCAAUCCUGCUCCAAGAGCGCCCUCUGCUGGAAUGGAGCAGGAGCCAACAUCCUCAGCCAUCUUGGAAGUGGGGCCAACUGGAACUCUGAAAGGAUGAAAAGUACCUCUGUUUAAAUACAAGCUCCAAAUAAGACAGAUCAAGUCUACAAUGUCUUCUUGACUUUUAUUUCUCAUUCCUUCUAUUUCCAUUUCUUUGACAACUUUUCUUAAGAGGAUCACGAUGUGGUGAAAAAAUAGAAUUUAAAGAGGGGAAAUGUAAUCCAGUGAAAUGGGCAUAAAACUAAGAAUUCUGCCUUCUUUGAGAGGUUUAAUUGCUGGGUUACAAAGAGUAAUUUCUUGGAAUAACUCAGUUUCUAGUCUCAGAUUGUAAUUACUCCUUCAGUUAGAAACCUUCUUCCAUUCAUUGCCUGCUAAAUUAAGUCAACAUUCUUUACUUAGCUUUCAAGGUAUAUUUGUAUAUGAAUUUACAAAUUCAUAAUAUGUUAUUUAGUUUGUACUUCAUUUAUCAAAGCUAAUAGUAUCUUUACUUUAAAAAAAUUUUACUCUGAUCUACUUUUUAGAAAUUGAAAAGAUAUUGAAAACUUUAAAAGUACAUUUGAAUACCAAAGUCAUAUGUUUCACAUUAAAAAUCAUGCUCAGCACUUAAUCUGCUUAUAAUUUUGAACAAGUGGAAGACCCUGAUUAAAUAAUUAGCUUUUGAACAGAAACAAUAAUUGAUAGGUUGAAUUCUAUCUUUAGCACUGAUGUUAGUCCUAACUUGUUGUUUAGGAUUGAGACAAGGUAAAGCGACAUAAAAGAUUUGGGGGAGUUGAUAUAACCUUUAAAGUGUCAUUUAGUCAAAGGAAGAAACAGUAGCUAGGAAUAUACCUAUUGAAUAAACAUAGCAAUAUGGUAGAUUCUAGUCCUAGACCCCUGUUUUACAGCUAGAAUUAUGCCAAAAAGUUGAAAAGUAAAGCUGGAUGAAACCUUAGAGAAGACUCCGCCAUCUUAUAACUCAGAUGGUGAAAUGAGACCCAGAAAGAAUAGUCUUCCCAAAGGCUCACGGUCAGUUAUUAUAGGAGCCUCAUUUGGAAUUUGAGUCAUCCAAUUCUCAAUCCACUGUUCUUACCACUACCCAACACUACCUUUGUUUAACUGUCUUUCUUGCAUAAAAAGGGACUUAUAGGUGAGAGAUUCUAUAGUGCCAUUGGGAGCUGCUGCCUGAAUCUCCGUGUAAUUUCAAAGAGUUUCCUAACUCAGACCCUGUCCCAUUUCACUGUAUCCUUAAGAGGCUGAGAAACGGGGCAUUCAGAUUCUUUCCCCAUGCUGACUCUUCAUUCUGUUUACACAUGGGCCGGCCAGAUGCUAGAGAAAAAAAAACAAACAUUUGCAGCUGUUAUCAGGGGUAGGAUAGAGCACAUGAGGUUCCCAAGUUUUGAUCCAACACAUCAGAACACACUUGAUUUUUACUCUGGCUUGGAGUUUACUGCCUUCAGCUUCUUCUACAAAGCCUGAAUGUUGCCAUUUCAUGUCAAAACCUGCACUGAGAGAUGCCGAUGGCUUCUUGAGCUAACUUCAGCCCAUCACCGCAGUGGUCUAGAUGACCAAGGAAGUGACUGCUUCAUUACAGCUUGAGGGGACCCUCUUUCUUCAUCCCCCACUUUCACUUUUUUUUUUUUUUUAAAUGAAAAGGCCGAUGGUUCUCCCAAGUAGCCAGAGGCCAGCAGGAGCACUAAGUAAGAGACAGCAAGAAGUGUUCUUAGUGAGAACAAUGUGGACUUUGGAGUUAUGUAAAACCCAAUUUUAAUCCUGGCCCAGCCAUUGACUGGCAGUUUGAUUUUGAGUUAUUUAAGUUGGAACCUUAUUUUUCUUGCUUAUUUAUUGAACUAUUAAUUGAAAAAGUGAUUCUAGUCCUAGACCCCUAUUUGACAGCUAGAGAAAUGAGACAUGAACUGAUACAUGCUCAGAUAAAUACAUUUCUUACUCAGAGGAUAAUAGUCAAUGAUUAAUAGUUUCCACUGAGACAUCACAAAUAAGAAAUAGAUUGAAAUUACAUUUGAAGGAUCUAGGUUAGAUAUCAAAAACUUCCUUGGAAGGGAGCAUCAUGAAACCUCUAUUUCUUAGAAAUCUUUAAGAAUAUAAUAGUCACACAUGUUGAAUGAGUUUAAAUGAAGCAUUACUUACCAGGAUAGACGACCUCUCUAGUUUUUCCCCAGUUAAAAAAUCCAAGACUUGGGUUCCUUCUUUCAAGAGGAGUAAUGUAAAAAGUCUGACCCCUAGUGGUCAUCGUCUCUGCAUUGGACCUAAGGGAAAAAGGCCAAAAAGAAUGAUAACAACCAGACUUUGUUUUGGAAUUAAAAACGAACCUUAGAAAUGUGAGAGUCAAAUUGUCUAAUUCUAAAACAAGGGAACUUAGACCAAAUGACUACAAAUAUUUCCCCAACACCAGCGACUCUGGAGUAAAGCUUGUUAUGGAACUCAGGACCUUUUGCUGGUGCUCUGGGUUCAAGAUCCAAUCGCUUCAUCUUCCAGAGUCUCCCACCUGGAAUCAGCCUCUUGGUGACAUAGAAACAGCAGGUAUAUGCUGAUUCGACUUUCAGGGCACAGGAUUCAGUCCGCAUUCUUUCCUUUUCUUUCGUGAUGAGGAGCACUUAAUUGUUCAGUAGAUGUAACUCUCUCUCAGGUAACCAACCUAAGUUCUCCAUUCCCUUUGUACAUUCUGACAGAUGCUCAUAGCAUGCUAAGUGCUCAUGGGUGGUAGGCUGCUUUCUAGUUUCCUGAUGUCUGUCUUCUCCCAUUAAUCAAAUCUGAUGCAUACAAAGAACCAGCUGAUUUUUUCCUCAAACCCGUUUAUGCUACUUUUAUUAGUAAAUGCAAUUAUAUAAUUUAAAUAUUAUGCAAA